rnacentral:tRNA from 1 species
GCCCCCGUAGUGAAAUGGAGAUCACGCGGGGCUUCGGACCCCGAAUUGCAGGUUCAAGUCCUGCCGGGGGCU